CUGAAUCAGGAAAUCUGUACAGGCAUACCAAGGUUUUGACCUCAACAAACAGGCAUCAUAACUCCUUGAUGUUUGAAUAUUAAAAUAAAUGAAAGAAAGCAAAUGAGCAACAUAUAUAUACUCCGCCAAAAUGACAUUUUUUGCAAACUUCUUCACGUGUGCUUGUAUAUUUUUUACGUACAGCAACUGUUUGCAUUUUCUCUUCGCAGCCCCAUUCUCCCAUCCUUUAUAAAAUUAAGUUUCUCCUUUUUACUUCACAAUCUCUUAAAUCUAACCAGUUGCAGCAGUUGCUUGCUUCAAAUGUUUCUCAUCCUCAAUAUCACAAUUGUCAAUCUUGUCAAAAUCAUCAUCAAAGUUGCUAUCGCCAUCAUCUGCACCCCCAUCACUUUCUUCAAGAUCUCCCAAAAGAAAAGUGUCCAGGUCCUGCUCAGCUGAUGAUGCAGUUGAUAUCUUGCUUUUCAGGUUCUUUUCUGUCACCUCGGACCUAGAAUUCUCUCCAGAUAUUGCACUUUGAGUCGAUUUUUCAUCUUUUAUCUGCUCUUCUGCUUUGCGCUUGAUCUCCUCCAUAUACUGCUUCUCAUACGGUGCAACAUGAGUGCUCAGAAGCGUAAAAUAAAUCCUCCAGAAUCUCCUUUCUUUCAUCACACGUGGGCAUAAUUCAUAUCUUAGCUUCGAGAUUUGCUUUACAUUAGUAAGAACAGAAAGAACAAGAGUGGCAUGCCUCCCCUGCCACUCAUUAAGAUCUUUCCGUACAUUCGACGCCGUAGUCUGCACAUCAGACGCCUCAGCUUCAUCUUGAAUUGGAAAGUUUUGGAAUGUAUUGGAAGUCAGUCCCUUAACAAAAUCUCUCAAAUCAUCUGUAAUUCCAAACUUCUGAAGCUCUUCGAGAUCCGAAGCCGCAGACACCGAAGAAGAAGAAGAAGAAUUCACAAUCGAGAGAGAAGAGAGCUGAGGAGGGAUGAUAUCUGAAAUGGACUUGAUUUGGAUCUGAUCGGCUUGCUUCAGAGCGGCGACUUUUAGUUGAUCGGCUUUCUUCGAAGCUUCCAAUGCGAGUUCUUUGGAUUUCUUAGCGGUCUCGGCGACUAGAUCAGCGAUUUUGUUGGUUGAGGUUAGGGUUUGGGACUUUUUUUGCCGCUUCUUCUGCG
rnacentral:misc_RNA from 1 species